AUUCGUGUGCGAACAUGUGUGCAGGAAGAAUCUCGAAGGAUGACAACAAAAUAUAAACUGGUUACCUUUGGGUAUAAGAGUUGGGAAUUGUGGAUCAUUCUCCUCUCCUUCUUUACACUUUUAAGAAUUGGGGGGAAAAACACUUUUUCUUUUUACCACUAAAACCAGUUUUAAAACUCCAAAAAAAAGUCUAAAAAAAUGAAUGGCCUCAGCCACCGAGAACCGAAUUCCGUAGCUAAAAGUUCCGAGCGGAGAACAGAGGGGGCCGGUGCCCCUGAGCCGGAGCAGAGCUGGGCAGUGGCUGCUGCACCGGGACAGCGACACCUGCCACCGGCGGAAGCAGGGGCGUCACGUGUCCCGCCCGCGUGGCCCGCGUGGUGCUCGCGGGCACCCGCCCCCCACCUCCCAGCGGCCCUCAGCAGCUCCCUUUCCAAUUUGCUGCUCUUCCGGGAGUUGGUUAUCCCCAGGGAAGGAGGGCGCCCUCGUUGCCACGGCAACGGGAGCCUCCCAGCCCGGACACCUGCCCCGCGCAGCCCCGCCCCGCCCCGCCCCGCCCGGGGGAGGGGUGGAGGCUUCAGGCGCUGGGGCCUGAGGGAAGGAGGGGACAGGAAUUAAAACGCAGGGUCAGAGGGAAGGGACAGGAAGAAAAAUGGACGAGAGGGCCCCUGACAAGCCCCUUGGCCACUGAGCGCUUCCUCCCGCCCCCGGCGCUCCUCCGUCAAAGGCCGCGUCCCCGGAUCCCGAGCUGGCGGGUGGGGCUGUCGGACGCUGCUGGCGUCUCCGCGUCUUCCAGGAACCCCGGGGCGUGUUUUAAAGUCUCGGGAACGGAGCGCGCCGGAACGGAGCUUUCACUCUCCUGCCCCGCCCGCCCGGACCGAGAAGGCGGCAGCAGCAGCCCUUUGAUUAAUGGAGUCUCCUGGCGUGGGAGCGUCGAGCCACUGCCCCGCUGGAAACCCCUGGUGCCUGCUGGCUCCCAUCUGGAGCGCGUGUACGCCCAGGUCUGCAGACCAAGCCGAAGCCUGGCAGCUGAAGCGCCUCUGAGACAAAACAGCUCCGAUCUGUUCUGUAGAGGACAUCCAUUCAAUCCUGGGAGUAUGUACAGGGAAUACACUUUAGGCAAGAUGUCGUUGGUCUUCACUGUGGCAGAAACAAAGAUGAUUCCUGCAUGGCUGUGUCUUUUUCAUGCUGAAAAAAGCUGA
rnacentral:lncRNA from 12 species